CCUACGUGAGGCAGCAGUGAGGAAUAUUGGUCAAUGGGCGCGAGCCUGAACCAGCCAAGUCGCGUGAGGGAAGACGGUCCUAUGGAUUGUAAACCUCUUUUGUCGGGGAGCAAAAGACGCCACGCGUGGCGUUCCGAGAGUACCCGAAGAAAAAGCAUCGGCUAACUCCGUGCCAGCAGCCGCGGUAAUACGGAGGAUGCGAGCGUUAUCCGGAUUUAUUGGGUUUAAAGGGUGCGCAGGCGGAAGAUCAAGUCAGCGGUAAAAUUGAGAGGCUCAACCUCUUCGAGCCGUUGAAACUGGUUUUCUUGAGUGAGUGAGAAGUAUGCGGAAUGCGUGGUGUAGCGGUGAAAUGCAUAGAUAUCACGCAGAACUACGAUUGCGAAGGCAGCAUACCGGCGCUCAACUGACGCUCAUGCACGAAAGUGUGGGUAUCGAACAGGAUUAGAUACCCCAGUAGUC
rnacentral:rRNA from 1 species